AACGCACCUUGCGCUCCUUGGUAUUCCGAGGAGCAUGCCUGUUUGAGUGUCAUGAAAUUCUCAACUGCCCCAGGCUUUGUGGCCUGCAGGUGAAGUUGGACUUGGAGGUAUGCUGGCGCAUGAAUGGGCUUUGUGCCCUGCCUUGCUUGUUGGCUCCUCUCGAAUGCAUGAGCUUUCCAAUCCUUGGCAAAGUAUCGUCGAUGUGAUAAUUGUCUACGUCGCCCGAGAAAGCCGAAAAGGGGAAAUCUUUGAUCACGCUGGGGUGACCCGUGUCUGACAAAUUCGACCUCAAAUCAGGUAGGACUACCCGCUGAACUUAA
rnacentral:misc_RNA from 1 species